AUUGAACGCUGGCGGCAGGCUUAACACAUGCAAGUCGAGCGGGGGAAGGUAGCUUGCUACCGGACCUAGCGGCGGACGGGUGAGUAAUGCUUAGGAAUCUGCCUAUUAGUGGGGGACAACAUCUCGAAAGGGAUGCUAAUACCGCAUACGUCCUACGGGAGAAAGCAGGGGAUCUUCGGACCUUGCGCUAAUAGAUGAGCCUAAGUCGGAUUAGCUAGUUGGUGGGGUAAAGGCCUACCAAGGCGACGAUUUGUAGCGGGUCUGAGAGGAUGAACCGCCACACUGGGACUGAGACACGGCCCAGACUCCUACGGGAGGCAGCAGUGGGGAAUAUUGGACAAUGGGGGGAACCCUGAUCCAGCCAUGCCGCGUGUGUGAAGAAGGCCUUAUGGUUGUAAAGCACUUUAAGCGAGGAGGAGGCUACUCUAGUUAAUACCUAGGGAUAGUGGACGUUACUCGCAGAAUAAGCACCGGCUAACUCUGUGCCAGCAGCCGCGGUAA
rnacentral:rRNA from 1 species